rnacentral:tRNA from 1 species
GUGGACGUGGUGUAGGGUUAUCACGCUUCAUUUGCAAUCAUGACUUGAAGAGGUCACGAGUUCAACUCUCGUCGUCUCCA